GGGCCGUUAGCUCAGUUGGUAGAGCAUCUGACUUUUAAUCAGAGGGUCGCAGAUUCGAGCUCUGCACGGCUCACCA
rnacentral:tRNA from 1 species